rnacentral:tRNA from 1 species
GGGGAUACGGCUCAGUUGGUAGAGUACCUGCCUAGCAUACACAAGUUCCUGGGUUCAAUUCCCAGCACCACCA